CCGUGGCAGGCCUGGUGAGGACAUCUUCCCAAGUCUGAGGCCACUGGAGCUCUCCAUGCCUACCGUGGUAGAAGAUGGGAGACUUCACGCUGGUCAUUGGUGUUGUUGGACUGAAGGUUAUUCGAGUGGAGGACCAUACAUCAUCUGCCGUGGUAAUGAGGGCGUGACCUUCCAUGUUUCAUUUCAAAAUCGAUACCCUCACUUGCACACCAACUUCAUGCUCUGCCCAUUAGACAAAAAGGUGAGUCAAAGAAAGGACGGGGAUGGGAACUGCUCCUCUGCCUGCUGGCUAGCUCUGGCGUCUGCAACUCCAAUCCUACUGUGCCGCAUGUCCUGCAACUUUUAGAAGCGGUCCCUGCUCCAGCACACCUGGAUGAAAUGAACGGUUAAUGACCAGGCCCCAGUAGAACUUGCUGACAUGCCAGGGAGCUAAUUCAGCCUUUUGAUGCCAUUGUGCCGGAGCAGGAACGCAGCUAAACAUUGCAGGACAGCAGCACUCCAGGGCUGGUGAUGCAAAGGCCUCAACUAGAUUAUAAAAAAAAAAAAAAAGGAUCUGGGUUUUAGGUCACCUGGUCAGCAGCUAGUAAACAUGCUAAUAUGUCACUUUUAUAAAUUACCACACCAGACGAUGAGACACCCAGUGGGAGCCAAUCAGUUUCCAUUUUCAAGCCAUGCACAUUGUGCCUUACUGAUUGGUCUAUUCGAGGAAACAAUUUGCUUUCACUUCAUUUAAAGAUAAUCCGACACGCAUAGCGAGAGCUCUGCACAGCACAAGCUGUUGAAACGCACAUGAGCGUAAACAGGAACUAGAGUGCACGCUGGAACAGUAAUGUGGCACGGCUGUGGGGCGUUAGUUCACCCAAAACUAGCUGACAGAUGUGGGUGGGGAAAAUAAAAAAAAAGAGUAAUUAUGAGACUUUACAAUCAGAAUAACAGCGAGGGGGAAAAAAAUAUGAGCUAAAGUUUGCAUCAGAUUUUCAAUAUGCUUGGUAUUUGUGUCAGGUAAACAAGUGAACUGGAUAUUCUGACUAAACUGACAAGUUUCACCUCUAUGCACCACCGUAACCAGUCGGGUAGCUUUCCCUGUAGUUAAAUAUAUUAAUAAAAAGUAUAAAUUUUAACAACAACUGGAUAAUAAAGCUGUCAAACUAAUGCAAAGCACCCUCCACAAUUACUAGGACCCCUGGUAAAAAUGUUUAAAAAGGCCUUUAGAACACUUAUAUCUUGCAGUAGCAAGAUGCCACAUCAAAUAGUUUUGGGAAUUUAAUUUAAGUGCGUUUAUUUCAGUAAUAAAAAA